GUGGCUGCCCUGCUCCAGCACCUCUCCCUUCCGCAGGAACACCACGUUGUUGGCCGUCUCCACGCCGCUCAUCUUGUUGGUAAUGAGCAGCACGGAGCGACCGUUCAAGUUCUUCAGCAGCGCCUGGUGCACCUGCAGUUUCAGCGGCCGACACCUUGAUUUACCACUUCGAGACAUCUGGGGCAUUGUAUUAAAGUCUUUCUGAGUUCAACCGAGUACAAAAAAACAGCAAUGAACCCACAGCAAGCUUAAGUAGAAUAUGGAACAUAUGUAUGUUACCACAUGCUCGCUCUCAGCAUCCAGGUCACUCGUGGAAUCAUCUAGAACGAGUAUCUGCGGCUUCCGGAUCAGGGCUCUCGCUAUGGCGAUUCUCUGCUUCUGACCUCCGGACACUUUGCCUCCCUUUUCUCCGGCAUCUAGCGAAUACAGAGCCAAGACACUGAGAACCAAUAGUGACGUAUAUAAUCGAAAAAAAAAAUGAAUAUCGAUCCACCGAGUCCAUCAAAAUACAAUUAAGGGCUGAAAUUUUUCAUCAGUGGAGAGGAAACAGGAAGCAGAUUGAACCGAUAAGCAUCUCGUCCUCUUCCACUCACCGGUGUCGUAUCCGUUUGGAAAGUCGUUGGUGAUGAAUCGGUGAGCGUUGGCCAGUUUAGCAGCGUCGUACAUGUCUUCAUCGGUGGCGUCUGCUUUCCCGUAUUUGAUGUUCUCUCUGAUGGAGCGGCCAAACAGUACGGGCUCCUGAGCGACCACGCUGAUCUGAAGAGCAGGAGACAAAACAACUAGAGUAAGAAGAGAGGCUGGAAAACGAAGAACAGUUACGUUAUACAUCCGAAAUCGUCUCAAAUGACUGGAACAUCGGGCUCCGGUGCUCAAAUCACAUUGUUACUGAAUUUCAUGUCCUUUCAAUAAGGAGGUAUUUCAUGUAAGAAGAUCUACUAGUGAGACAAGAGAAACUCAGCUGAAUGUCAAGAUACAUCAUAGUCUGGCUUUACGCGUACGAUCAUGUGCCGCCAAAAAAAACAAACACGUGUGCUAUUACCUUCUCGUGCAGAUAUUGAUCCUUGUAGUUCUGCAGCGGCUGCUCGUCCAGUAAGAUCUCUCCCUCCUGAGGCUGGUAAAACCUCUCGAGAAGCCUGACUAUGGUGCUUUUUCCACCAUCUGCUGGACCUACCAGAGCGGUGAUCUCUCCCGGCUUCAGCUCCAGGGAAACGCCCUAGACGGGUUGAAAAAACACUAGUCCGAUACAAGGCCACGGCUCGGCUUGGUCGUACAUCAGACGCAGAGUCCGUUUUUUCAAACGGAUUCUCGAUUUUGAUUGGUCAGAAGGUGUUUAUUUAUUCAUUUUCUAUAGUCUUUCCACUGUGUGAAAAUGUAUUUAAAGUCUUUAAAGUGUAUGCGGAUUAUGCGUUUUUAAAUCUGUAUAUAUGUGAAACGUAGCAUAACAUAUUAGCACGAGUGCAUUAAUAUAAACCUGUGGUCUGCAAUUGCACUACUGUCAGAGCUUAUAGAAAAUGAAUCGACACCAAUCUGACCAAUCAGAAUCGAGAAUUGUACUGAGGAUUAAAGGAGGCGGUAUGCGAAGCAGGAGCAACUGAAACUGAACAGCGAGGAACUAAUAUAUCCCUUAUCACUUUUCACAUUCAGCACAGUCUAGCACCUGCCUGUUUCACACCCCUUCACCUCCACGACGUCAUGAGACGUUUAAACGCAGACGAAGGCCCUCAGAAAGCCGGUUUUCAGUACUCACUUUCAGAACGUUCUCGGCCGGCCUCGUCGGAUACGCGAAAGUGACGUUGUCGAAACGCACGUGACCCCUGAGUGUCUUGGGAGCUAAGGAACCUUCAGGAGGAACAUCGGGCUUCCGGUCCACGUACUCGAAGAUCUUCUCUGAGGCGCCGACGGCUUUCUUCACUCGAGGGUAAUAGGACAUCAGAGCCUGUGAAAACGGUUAGAGGGUGAUAUAACGAGCUGAAAGCGCAAUCAGACUAAAGUGAAAUCAGAAAACGCUCCCGAAAUGUAACGGGACACCGGCUUUACCUCGACAGCCUGACUGAACUGAAGCUCGUACAGCACGAAAGACACCAGGUCGCCACUGCUGACAUCAUUUCCUGCCACCAGCUGGCCUCCAUAGUACAGGAUGCUCACUUUCAAGGCCAGACUGGACAUCUGAGCGAUAAGACGGAUUUUCAGACACACGUUAUAAACAUUAUGUGUAUUACACAACAGUUUUAUACAGUGUAUAACGGAAGACACGAAUACGUCGGGACGAUUAUAUUUUCGAUCAAAAGGUUUUUAAGAUCACGAGAAACGUUUCAGUCAAAGGUAAACUUUAAAACAUUCAUAAUUAACCGUGUAGAUUUGUCUACAAGUCUUACGCUGUUGGUCCAGGUUGAUGCCGCAUAACCGGCCGCUUCCACUUUGUUGAGCGAGUAGGUGUGCUCCAAGCACUUCUUGUAUCUCUCCGACUCUCCGUCCUCGUUGGCGAAGCUUUUCACCGUCUUGAUGGAGGAGAACGUCUCGGUGGCGACGCUGUUCGAUUUGGCGAGAGACUCCUGCACUUUGACUGCACGUGAUCUUCAUUUUCUCACGAAGCCCGACUUUGACCGGAUCAGGUAGAGCAGUUUUUUCAGACCGACCUGGUAGAACUUUCCGGAGAACUCCGGGACGAUCCAAAUGACAGGAAGGCCGAGGAUGGUGAAGAUGGACAGGCGCACGGAGAGGAGCAGCAUGGAGCCGUAGAGGAAGACUAAACGCAUGGUGUACCACAUGAGCAGGCUGAGCUCUUCGCUCAGGGACUCGCUCAUGUCGUUGGUGUCUUUGGUGAUUCGGGACACGAGUUCACCUGAGGAGCAACGCAAAAACACCUCUAUCACACCUGACUUACCCGAGGAAGCUUUAUCGAAGAAGGCGAUUUCCUGUUUCAGCACACACUCGAACACCUGACUCUGGAUGGCGGUGUGUAUGAGGCUCAUGGUGAUGUUGUAGAUGAGAUCGCACACAAACUCAAACACGGCACUGUGAGGGGGGGGAAGGCAACGAGUAAUGAGUCAGUGUGUAAUAACAAAUCGCACACGUUAUAAAUGAAAGAGAUAGCUAGAUGAGGCAAAAAUGUGAGACUUUAGCUUUUGAAUCUCUUGAAAAACUGUCCUCUGAAAUGAUUAAAAAAUAACAUCAAAGGUAGUAAAAAACUGCUAACA